GAGAUUGCCUGUGCUGCCUAUACCCAGUAUUCAUGGUGGGCUGGGGUUAAGUCGGAUGAGUGGGAGCUUUAGGAACGCCUGAGGGCCAGGAACUAUCAGGAAAAGUUUCAUCAAGAAGAUGGCGCCUGAGUUUAUCCUUGAAGAAAGAGGUGAAUAUCAGCAGAUGGAGCAUGGGGAGCCCACCGAAGAUCACAGAAUCUCAGCCUUGGGAUGGUUCUCAGAAGUCAGCUACUGCAACUCAUACUUGAACAUGAAUCCUUCCUAAAAUAUACCUAAGAGGUCAUUUGGAUUCUGCUUGAGGACUUCAAUGGAGGGGGAACCUCCCAGAACAGCCCAGUCCACUUUUGUAUAGUUGUAAUCAUUAGGAAGCUUUUUUUCUUUAUUUUUCCUGAACCUGUUUCUCAGGCAAGUUCUUCCCACAGACAACGAAGCAAAAAAAAAAAAAAAUCUAAUAU